rnacentral:lncRNA from 1 species
CUUGUUCAUUAUAAAACAAUAAAGUCUCCUGCAUAUACCUAUUAAUCUUUUUUUUUAUAUCAGUUUGAGGUACCAAAUCAAAUCAACAAGGAGUGACCUUUUCUAACAUCUUUUUUUAAAAUGCAUUCUUAGUAUCGAGAUGGAAAGACCUUCAAUUGUUCCCUGAAGAAUUGGUUUUUCAUUUUAUCAGUCAUUUUUAGAGUCUUU